rnacentral:lncRNA from 1 species
CAGGGAUCUAAUUUUUCAUUUUGAAGGGUUGCCACAUCACUUUCCCAAGCUUUUUAGAGCAUUGUGGGGCUUUAACAAGAUGUGUAUGCAAGGAUUGGGUGAAAUUCCAGUGCCCAUGUUUCCCGGGGAGUCUGUAAGAGGCUCUCUCCAUCCCCUUCUUACUCCUGCGUCCUGCAGAACACACACACAGUCACACAUUCUUUCACCAAACAUGGCCUCACUCUCACAAAACACUCACAAAAGUACACUGACAGUCACACAGGAUCACAAACAUGCACUAGAAAUCUGAAACACACAUAUCCAACCUCUCUCUGUGACAAAAAGACACUAUCCAUACACACACACACACACGCUCGUCUGCUCUGCUGAGUCACCAGUCUUGGGUCUCAGCCUCAGCACGUGUGGGGCCUGCCCUGUGGGAAGCUGUUGAACACAGAGGGAAGGGGAGGUUGCACUGUCCACCUCCUCAUUACCAUAAUGAUUGCGUUCAGCAUCCUUCAUUAGCACACAGGAGCACUAAGGGUUGGAGAGGACGUGCGUCAGCUCUACACACACAGCUGCUCACAUCACUUGACAUGUGUAUUUGCUGGGACACUUGGGAAUGAAAUGGCUUGUGCAAUUUAGUCUCGUGUCAGUCUUCAGCUUUAAGUUUCAAGUGAUCCUGCUCUUGCAAUAAAUACAAUGGAGAAAGCAGCUUUUCUUCAAGGACAUCUGAAAGCCACGCAAGAAAACAGCAUAGACUGGGCUCCCAAAUACAUCUACAUGGAUUUAAUGGACACGGAAUGUUGAUGUUAGAUGUAAAGCAGCACUGUGACUCAACCCCUUGUGCAACUCUGAACAUGGAGGGGAGUCCUGUGAAGAUGCACUGACCCUGAAGUGUUUCAGAAAGGCUGUCUAUAGCUGUACCUAAGCCUUGAUCAUGUGAGAGAAGUCCUAGCUCUGUCUGCAGUGGUGGGCAAGGGGGACAAGAAGUCACCUUCUCCAAGACCCUUUUCAAGCACCAGGGUUGCCUGACUGUUGAAUUAGGGCCAUAGACUUUCCACACUGAGCCCAGCACUGCACUUGUGCCUCUGCUGAAAGAUGCUUUCCAUAGCAGAAAGUUCUGGGACUCAAGUCCUGCUGUCUGUAUUUUUUUGUCCCUUGAUGUGGUGUACUCCCCCUUCCCCUAGGAGUAGGAAUCCCUGAAGAACAGACUACUGUGAAUGCCACUGCUUCUCUGGGUCCAGCUUCCCCAUGGGGUGAAUGCAACACUCCAGGCUGGUGCUGGGGAAUGCUUGCAAGUGAUCCAGUGAUGUGACCUGUCCUCAAGUCUCCCAGCAGUGGGAACAAGCACCAGCUCUUAUGGGGUGACAGGGGAGUAACAUAGACUCUGUAAGAUUCCUUGGUUAUAAACAGCCUUAUUGUGUUGGCUUUCUCAAAUGCCAGGAAGUCUCAAAUGCCAGUAGUAAUGAACUGGUCACAUGGACAGACAUAGGACCUCCUGGUUAGCCAGGAUGAUGCAGGCAGUGGUGAUAGUUGAGGACACGCAUAAGUUUUCUUCUUCCUAGGCACUUUGUUAUCCAGGUCUCUCCCACAACACGUGGAAAUUCAAGAUGAGAUUUGGAUGAGGAUACAGCCAAACCAUAUCACUCACCUAGCUCCCAUACACUUGGCAAAGCAGGUCUCACAAUCUCAAUGUUUCUCUAGCAGCAGCUAGCUAUGUUCCAGGCAGUUUGCACUCAGAACUCAAAACUUCCCCAGGCCAUAUGCCUUCCCCUGGAAGACCGAAUCCUUGGCUUUUAGGCCAUGCCUUUUCUGCUCAGCCAGCCAAGCAGGGACAUUCAGCUCCAGUGCCCAUGUUUACAGCCCACUUGCCACUUCCCCUUUGGUUCUGGAUUAUAUCUAGAAUCUCAAUUGGGAGCUUCUUUUAACAUGUGACCACCACCUGAGUUACCUGACAGACUUCCAAAACAUCCCCUGUGAGGUUGGAUCAGGAAUGGCUUCCCUCCACAUCCACUGGAGCCUGGGAGUGCAUACAAAGAAUAUCCCAGUGCCGCUCCUUCUUACAUGCUCCCACCACUCUCUAAAUCAGCUCCAGUGCUGGGUAGGGUUAAGGACUUCCCCCAUGGCCUGGAUUGCCAGGUUCCCUGGUGGGAGUGUAUAAAGGCAGUUUAUCUCCCUCACAAACUCUGGGUACUUACAGUUUUCCAAAUGGCUCACGGUUGGAGUCUGUUUUCUUUCAGUUUUUGUGUUAAGUUCCUUAUUUGUGUUGCUUCUGCCUUCUACUUCCCAGGCUGGGAGCAGCUAUGUGUCUUGCAGAACAGUUCUCUGCUAGCUCUGAUUCGCUCCAAACCUCAUCUGCUAGUGUUCUUUCUGGCCUGAUUCAUCUCUGUUUAAUAUAUAAUGAAGUAGAUUUAAGUGUUAUCCUUAGGAUGUGGUUCUCCCUUGAGGAAGGAGAAUAGGGUCUGGAGGCAGGGAACAUAAGGCCGAUUCACGCUGAUUUCCUAGAACUAAAUCAAAUGAAAACACUUCAGCAAUGACAGGAAAUAUCCUCUCCAUUUUCUUAGGGCAUAUGCCAAGUAAACGACUUUGUAACUUUACUUCAUCCUCUUCCUUCACAUAGGGUGUACACCAAGUAACCAACAGAAACCUCUAGAGGGUAUUUAAACCCCAGAAAAUUAUGUAACCAGGUUCUUG